ACUCCUACGGGAGGCAGCAGUGGGAAUAUUGGACAAUGGGCGAAAGCCUGAUCCAGCCAUGCCGCGUGUGUGAAGAAGGUCUUCGGAUUGUAAAGCACUUUAAGUUGGGAGGAAGGGCAGUAAGCUAAUACCUUGCUGUUUUGACGUUACCGACAGAAUAAGCACCGGCUAACUCUGUGCCAGCAGCCGCGGUAAUACAGAGGGUGCAAGCGUUAAUCGGAAUUACUGGGCGUAAAGCGCGCGUAGGUGGUUCGUUAAGUUGGAUGUGAAAUCCC
rnacentral:rRNA from 1 species